AUUACUUUGGCAGAUUAGUGCUUUGAAUUUAGAAUUCAAAUAUGUAAUUAUUUACAAGUAAUA
rnacentral:tRNA from 2 species